AUAUGAGACAUAGAUAAGUUUGCAAUCCUCUCUGCUACUUAUCAUCCGAGCCAUUGGCCUACAACAAAAACGGUAUAUAACGGCACUUUUAAAUGUAUAAGUCAAAAAAAGUACUACUGGCUAAAUUACCGACACUUUUAAAAAGUGCCGCUAUAUGUGGAGUCGUUAUAAGGCCGCCUUGAUAUUUGGCACCCAUGCCAUUUCUCCAACGACUUAAUUAUGGCGGAAGGAUACAUGACGAUCGUAGCUUUCUAUGGUCUCUGUAAGAUCCUUGUGGCCGAACUUUAGCCACCGGAACCCUAUCUCAUCGGCUGCAACGGCAGAGGAGGAGAAGGGGAGAUGGUGAUUAAUUUUUUUUCUUUUUAUUUGUAAUUGGGCCGAGUGGACCGGGUGUGGUUGAUUGAGUAGAAGAACGUUUUGUUUUUAAUUGGAUUGGAUUUUAUAUUUAAACCUUUGUAGAUUUUUUAAAAAAUUUCGACAUCAAUGGGACACUUAUAUAAAAGUAUUUUAAAAAUAUGUCUUUAUAAUCUAAUUAUAUUGUAGUGUGGACGCCAUGAUCACCUCUUAAACCAU
rnacentral:lncRNA from 1 species